CGAGAGAUAUGAGUAUAGCAGGAAUUUUAGGCACUCACUAUACAAUCACGGCUCGACUUGAAGGUGAGCGUAUGUGUAGAUGCGCAUUUCUGUGUUCCGGCAGGCAGGCAGGAUCUACGCAGGUCGGGAAAUGCAGGCUUAUAUAAUCAGGAAAUAUUGUUAUUUAACGUUUUCCGCAGCAGGAAACGCAAUAUACAAGAAACGGUAAUUUUAUACACAAAAAAUUGUAAUGGAGGUGGAAGGACGAGUUAUGGAAUAUAAAGUUGAAUAUAUUAAAUGAAUUCAU